rnacentral:lncRNA from 1 species
UAAUUCGAGUUUUUUUUCUCCGGUCAGUUCAUUAUCGGGAUCGGUAAACAGUAAUCAAAAUGAAGAAGAAGAAGAAGGAGAAGGUAGUAGUAUAUAUGCACCGUACGAGCAUGAGAGAAGCCGGAGUGUGACGGAUGCGCGAAGUAGGAUCGCCAAGGAGAUCGGUGAAGAGCGAAACCUUCCCGGUUCCGACGUCGCAGAUAGUCUCGACAGCCUCGACUCCGGGACAAUCUCUCUCUGGAUCGAACACUCUAACCGCUACAUGGUAAUCCAUAACUGACUGUACGUUUUUCUUUUCUUUUCUUCUUCCUUUUCCUUUUUUAGUUCUUAAACCGCAAGAUUAACUAACCGGCCUUCGCUUAAUCUGGGUUAUAUGAAGAGGGAAGAAGGAAGGGGAGAAAAGAUGGGUUAUGGAAUAGAAUCUGGCAGUAGUGGUGAUCUCUUUUUUGGACUGUUCUAGUACGUACGUUUAUCACAAUUUGUAGUGGGUUCCUCCUGUUGAUAAAGACUCCUAGAGGGGUUUGGAAAUUGGAAUGAGAGAUUGUGAGAAAAUCACACCACACCCUGAUUGAAUGAUUGGAUGAUUGAUUGGGCAAUUUGGGCAUGGGUUAACUACUUAUUUAUACCCAAAUAUUCCCCUCACCAUACACUUAGGGAUUACCUACGACAGAUAGAUCAUCCUCCCACAUGCUUUUUUUUAAUACCCACAAUCUCAUUUCAUUUUAGUUGUUUCUGAUUAUUUAAGUUGUUUGUAAAAGAUUAGCUUAGCUGACCACUUGAAAAUUACUUGAGUUAUUCUCUUUGUGAUUUUAUCAGACAGAUAAAUUAACCUAUAUACAGAAAUAUUGUGUUUUCUAAUAAAAGAGAUUAGCUUGAACUCUAAAUUUUCAGAAACCUUAAUAGUUAAGCAUUUAUAUACAGAAAGAGUUUGAUUCAACUGAUAACAGUUAGUUACUAUUAUACUUUCUGAUAAAAGAGAUUAACUCAAACUCUGGAUCUUCAGAAACUUUAAUGGGUAAUGCAAGAAUCAGUUGAGCUAUUUUCUUUGUGAUUUUAUCUAGUAUUUAAGUUGUUUACAAAAUAUCUAAGCAUUUACAUAUAGAGAUUAACUCAACUGAUAACAGUUGCUCUUAUGUUUUUUUCUGAUAAAAGAGAUUAACUCGAACUCAGAAACCUUAAUAGUUAAUGUGAUCAGUUAAACUAUAUUACUUUAUGUGAUUUUACCUAGUAUCUAAGUCGUUUACAGAAUAUCUAAGCAUUUACAUAGACAGCUAGAUGAACUCAACUGAUGACAGUUACUAUUAUGUUUUCUGAUAGAAGAGAUUAACUCGAACUAUGGAUGGACCUUUAAAAAUCUUGAACUAUUAUUCUCUUUAUGAUUUUAUCUAGUAUUUAAGUCGUUUACAAAAGAUCUAAGCAUUUGGCAUAGAGAGAUUAAGUCAAUGACGGUCGAAACUUCAUGCUAGUGUUUAUAUAGUUACUAUUAUAUAUGGUUCAUGAUAAGAGAUUCUGAUGUCAACUAGCUUGGAUGACAAUGACAGUCGAAAGUUUAGGCUAGCGUUAAUCAUAUUGGAAAAGAAGUCGGCACGAUUAAGUACUUACGAAGGAAGCUGCCGACAAGGCCACACUAGUCAAUUGAUCAUUAUCAUCAGGUAUGAAUAUGAUAUGUAUUCUUUAGUCGAAAUUGAUCAUGAAUCGAUCUUAAAAGUUGUGGAUCGUUAAUUACGGCUUUAAUCAAGAAUAAUUAGAGUGUGUGAAAGUAGAACAUGUAGUUUUCAUGUGACUAGAUAUUGGGUUGGAUUAGGUUACUUCAAUGUUGAUAGCUCAACAAACUAACUUAAUUAAUUAGUUAAUUAAUCAUCAUCAUAUAGAUAAUUAAUUAUGGUUGAUAUUGGUGUUGAUAAAUUCAUCAUGUCCCUCUCUCAAUCUAUGGUAAUGGUUGUAUGGUUCAAGUUUCACAAUGGCACAAAGCACCAUUGAAAUCAAGAUGAUAGCCCCUAUGCCCGUGUCUUUGCCCAAAACAACAGCCCCACAAGCUAAGCUAAGCCGAUUGAUUCUUCGGCCGACCAUGUUAAUUUAUUAUAUGAUGAAGAGAAAUUAAUGCGGCCACGGCUUUUCCUACUGGAAUGGUCGUCGGGACACAUUGUUUUAUACUUUAUAAAGUGCAUAGUUUAGCGACAUUCGUGAUUAAAUUAAUCGCAUGUUUAAUAUAUUUUAUCUACUGGGAAAGACGAGGAAAAUUGGAAAAAGGUCAUUCUUAUCAGAUGUCUAAUGAAAUGACGUAAUCGAAUGACGUAAGAUCGAUUAAUCCUAAAAUUU